rnacentral:rRNA from 1 species
GACGAACGCUGGCGGCGUGCCUAAUACAUGCAAGUCGAGCGAGACUCUUCGGAGUCUAGCGGCGGACGGGUGAGUAACACGUGGGCAACCUGCCUGUAAGACUGGGAUAACACCGGGAAACCGGUGCUAAUACCGGAUAAUCCUUUUCCUCUCAUGAGGAAAAGCUGAAAGUCGGUUUCGGCUGACACUUACAGAUGGGCCCGCGGCGCAUUAGCUAGUUGGUGAGGUAACGGCUCACCAAGGCGACGAUGCGUAGCCGACCUGAGAGGGUGAUCGGCCACACUGGGACUGAGACACGGCCCAGACUCCUACGGGAGGCAGCAGUAGGGAAUCUUCCACAAUGGACGAAAGUCUGAUGGAGCAACGCCGCGUGAGCGAUGAAGGCCUUCGGGUCGUAAAGCUCUGUUGUUAGGGAAGAACAAGUACGAGAGGGAAUGCUCGUACCUUGACGGUACCUUACGAGAAAGCCACGGCUAACUACGUGCCAGCCGCCGCCGUAAAAC